rnacentral:rRNA from 1 species
UACGUAGGGCGCAAGCGUUGUCCGGAAUUAUUGGGCGUAAAGAGCUCGUAGGCGGCUUGUCACGUCGAUUGUGAAAGCCCCCGGGCUCAACCUGGGAAUGGCAUUGGAAACUGGCGAGCUAGAGUGUGGCAGAGGGGGGUGGAAUUCCGCGUGUAGCAGUGAAAUGCGUAGAGAUGCGGAGGAACACCGAUGGCGAAGGCAGCCCCCUGGGCUGACACUGACGCUCAGGCACGAAAGCGUGGGGAGCAAACAGG